rnacentral:rRNA from 1 species
UACGUAGGGGGCAAGCGUUAUCCGGAUUUACUGGGUGUAAAGGGAGCGUAGACGGUAAAGCAGGUCUGAAGUGAAAUGCCAGUGCUCAACACUGGAACUGCUUUGGAAACUGUUUGGCUGGAGUGCAGGAGAGGUAAGUGGAAUUCCUAGUGUAGCGGUGAAAUGCGUAGAUAUUAGGAGGAACACCAGUGGCGAAGGCGGCUUACUGGACUGUAACUGACGUUGAGGCUCGAAAGCGUGGGGAGCAAACAGG